ensembl:snRNA U1 U1 spliceosomal RNA
AUAUUUACCUUGCAAAAAAGACACCAUGAUGGCAAAGGUCGUUUUCCCAGGUUGAGGUUAUCCAUGGCACUCCACAUGGUGCUGAUAUUGUGAUUCCACCCAAAAAGGAAAGAUAUUCAGCUGCAUAAUUUGUGGUAAGAGAAGGCUGUGUUAGCACUUUCCCCUC